rnacentral:lncRNA from 1 species
AUAAGAAUCCCUAUAAAUAGGAGGCACCCCCCCACUCAUUUGAGGCAAGUCAUUUGGAGUAGAGAAUUCCUAACGAAGCAGAGCUCUGCGCAUGCACUUGAGUUCCGAUCCGAUUUCCCGCGGAGUUCCCCGCUUGGCUCUUGCUGAAGCGUCUUGGAGUACUGAUCGGGUUUCACCCUCAUCAGUUAGUGCCGUUUGUGAUUCAAAGAUACUCACGACAAAAGCUCCUCGACUUUUUCGAAAAAAGGGUUCGACUUUUUUCCAAGUCGUCAGCCAGGGAGUCUUGCGAGGAAAUCAGCUCGACAAAGGAUCAACUUUUCAGAAGAAAAAAAGAAGAUCGACUUUUUUCCCCAGAAAAGUCGAUUUCUCAAGGAGCUACGCUUUCAAACUGCGACUUUUGAAGAAGUCUCUAAGUGCACAAGAAUUGACUUUUUUCUUUCCAAAAAAAAGUCGAACUCUCCAGGAUGGUAAUUACAACACAAAGUACUUCUCAGGGAGGGGCCAACUCUCAGGAGGUACCAGAACAGCAGUCUGGCAACUCGAAAACUAAAAGACCAGUGGGUCGCCCACCUAAGGCUAAUAAAAAUAAAAGUACGCAUAAUGAAGCUGAGGUUGAACCUGAGCAAACCCCCCAAGCAUCAGCAGGGGGAGAACCUGAACAUCACACUGCAGGCGAUAGCUGAGGCCAUACGACUCCUUACUGAAAGGGAGAAGCCUUCAAGAUAGAAGCCUCAGAAGGAGCAACCUCAGGAAAAACAACCCUCAAAGGAGCAGUUUCAAGAGGUACGUCCUGAGCAAACAAAACCUGCAAGUAACAAGGAAGCAAGGGCUUCAGCAUCAGAAACCUCUCGCGGGUUUGUAAAAAUACCCAUAGAGGAGCUGGAAAAAAUGAAAGAAACCAUAGCAAAAAUGGGCGAAAGAGAGAAGUGCAAAGUAUCAAUGUUCCAGUCAAAAGCUCAAACAUCAAAGAAGGUCAAAACGCAGCAUGAGGUGUCAAACCAUAAAGCGGCACACUGUAGCACGUUAUUGCCUCAUGGAAACAAAAAACCAGAGGAGCAGAAAUCUAAAGUUCCACCUAAAAAACCCACGUACGAAGAAAGCACAGAAGAUACAGAGGGGGAAGGAUGUGAACUCCCAAACUGGUUAGAAGGCAUGGAAGCCCUGCACAAAUCAUUAAUGGUGAAACCAUCACCUUUAAAAUUUAGGCUGUCCAGGCUACAACUCUAUGGUGGAAAGAUGGACCCAGUAGACCACAUAAACAUGUUUAGAGGAGCAAUGCAAUGGGUCACAACGAGAGAUGACAUCCUGUGCAGAGCAUUCCCAGAAACACUGAAAGGGCCUACAUAUAGAUGGUUCGUCGAAUUACAACCACGGAGCAUAACAAGUUUUGCAGGCCUGAAGAAGUUCAUUGCCCAACAUUGUGGGAACACAAGAGUCAGGAAGGGCACUGAGUUAUUAUUGGCAAAUCAAGCAGAAUGGAGACAUGCUUCGACAUUACACAACUAAAUUCACAGAAGCUAUGUAAAAAAUCUCCGAUCUGAACACAACAAUUGCAAUCUGUGCAUACUCCAAGGGGCUAGACAUGAACACACUAUUAGCAAUAAAGCUAAAUGUGAGUAAUGUGAAAUGUAUGGAAAAUCUGCUAACAAAGGCCCAAAAGUAUAUAAAUUCAGAGGAGUACGAAAAAGAAAAAGAAAGGGGUGCCAUAAGCAACAAAAAGACAUAUGAAGCACCAAAACAAAAAUUUAAAAAAUUCGAAAAAGGAGAAUCAUCCUGAAAACCAAAACACGAUGGAAAGGUCUACCAGACAUCUGAGGAGUUCGGAAAAUCAAAGUACCCAAGGUUCAAAGACUUGGGAUUCACAGUUUUCAGCAUUCCAAAAGAGGAAAUCUACAACAAGGAAAAAGGAAGAAUAAGGUUUUUUCAACCAACAGAAUUAAACCCUGCAACGAAAGAGGCCCGAGCAAGGAGGAACAGAUACUGCAAGUUCCACAAGGACUACGGGCACAACACAGAAAAUUGCAGGGAACUGAGUGCUUUCCUAGAUACUCAGGUAAAGGAAGGAAAGCUAAAACAAUACAUAAACACAGUAGAAAGGGGGAGACAAUUAAGGUUGCAAGAACCCAAAUAACAAGGGUAAGCGACAACGCGCUCAAGGAGUCCUGACUCAGACACUGACCAUAAGAGAAGGGUAAUAAAUUUAAUCUUCGGCGGAGGAUCGGUAGGAGAAAGCAGAAGUUACUCGCGGAAGGUAAUGCAGACUACUGCAGUACCAAAAUCUAAGAAAAGGUCAUACCCAAGCGAGGGAAUAAGCUUCUCUGAGGAAGAUCUGGAUAAUGUGGUCAGCCCGCAUGAAGAUCCACUAGUAAUACAGGUGGACAUCGGGGAUGAUUUAAGUUUGAGUAAAGUAAUGGUGGACAAUGGCAGCUCAGUAGACAACAUACUGUACCUAGCUGCAUUUGAGAAAAUGGGCUACAAAGUGGAGCGGCCAAGGAAGCCAUAUACGGGUUCACAAACACAAAUGCCCCAGUAGUAGGAGCCAUCGAUUUACAGAUAUCCCUAGCGAAAAGAAACGGGAGAGUCUGACGCACGGCACAUUUCAUUGUGGUCAACAUAGAUUCUCCGUUCAAUAAAAUCCUGGGCAGACCUAGCAUUCACGGUUUCAAGGCAAUACCGUCAUCUUACCACCAAUGCUUCAGGUAUCCAGGAAAGGAUGGCAAAAUGGCAACAGUUUUCGGAGCACAGAAAGACUCCAGAAACUCGUAAAGGAAUACAACUAAAAUGGCCAAACCAAUAACCCUGUACAUCCAGGAAAGAGAGGAAGAAGAAGACACAACCUCAACUAAUCAAGUUGAGGAGGUCAAACUCUCAAAAGGAGGAAUCUUGAUAGGUACAUCUAUAUCCUCCGAGUUAAAAAAUUCAUUACUUUGUUUAUUAGAGGCUCAUGUACAUACGUUCGUAUGGGAGGGGGAAGCACUCUCACAGGUACAACGCACCAUAACAUGUCAUGAGCUCAACAUAGACAGCAGCUUUACUCCUAUACGGCAAAAGCGAAGGAUACUCGCAGCCGAAAGAAAGGAAGCAGCAUAGGCUGAAAUCGAAAAGUUAAUCAAGGGUGGGCACAUUCGGGAAGUUAAGUACCCAAAAUGGCUAGCUAACCCAGUCAUGGUUAAGAAAUGCAACGGGAAGUGGAGGAUGUGUGUAGAUUUCACAAACCUCAACAAAGCAUGUCCAAAGGACAGCUAUCCACUCCCGUCCAUCGACAGAUUAGUAGAUGCGGCUUCAGGAAAUGAAUUGUUAUCUAUGAUGGAUGCGCAUUCAGGGUACAAUCAAAUUCUGAUAAAAGAAGAGGAUGAAGAAGCCACAUCAUUUAUCAUAGUUUGGGGAACAUACUGCUACAAAGUCAUACCCUUCAGACUAUGAAACGCAGGAGCAACCUUCUAAAGGCUAAUGGACAAGGUUUUCAAAAAGCAAGAAGGAAGAAAUGUCCUGGCAUACGUAGAUAACAUUUUGGUAAAAUCCAAAAAAGCAGAUGAACACCCAAAUGAUCUGAAGGAAACUCUGGAAACUCUACAGAGUUAUGGGAUGAGGUUAAACCCCGUCAAAUGUAGCUUUGGAGUACAAGAAGGAAAGUUUCUUGGAUUCUAUGUAGGGCAGAAGAGAAUAAAACCAAACCCAGAUAAAAUAACAGCGAUAUUAGAAACAGCACCGUCUCGAACAAUAAAGGAAGUGCAGAAGCUGAAUGGAAAGAUCAACGCUUUAAGUCGAUUCAUUUCCAAAACAGCAGACAAGUGCAAACUUUUCUUCCAAUUAUUAAAAACUAGUCAAAAAGGGGCAAUAACAUGAACUCCAGAGUGCGAACAGGCAUUUCAACAGCUCAAGGCGCACUUAGCUUCACUACCACACCUAACUUCACCAAAAGUAAGGGAGGAAUUAUAUGUCUACGUAGCAGCUUCAGAGGAAACCAUCAGUGCAGUUUUAAUAUGACAAAGAGACAACGAACAAAUCCCAAUAUAUUAUCACUCCAAAAGGCUACAGGGGGCAGAAACACGAUAUCCUCCGGUGGAAAAAAUAGUCCUAGCAGUAGUACAUGCAGCACACAGAUUUCGGACAUACUUCUUGACUCACACAAUCAAAGUCUUGACAGAACAUCCACUGCACAGAAUACUCCACAGUCCAUAUACUUCCGGAAGGCUGACGAAGUGGGCUCUGGAGAUAAACGAGUUUGAUGUAGAUUUUGUCCCCGUCACUGCCAUCAAAGGGCAAGCCAUAGCAGACUUCAUUGUGGACAUGACCCAGGAAAGUAAGGAAAAACCUUGGAUAAUAGAGGUUGACGGCUCAAGCUGCAGUACAGGUGCAGAAGUGGGAAUAAAAGUAAUCACUCUAAAUCAAAGGAUAUAUGAACACUCUGUCAGAUUACAAUUCUCAACUACAAACAAUAUAGAAGAAUAUGAGGCUGUAAUCCAAGACAUGAAAAUACUCAAAAGAUUGGGGGCUUGUUCAGUAAUUAUCAGAACAAAUUCUCAAUUAGUAGCUCGGCAAUUUACAAGGGAGUUCACAGUUAAAGAACCUCUUAUUAUGAAGUACGCAGCUACGCUAGAAAAAAUAAAAUUACAGUUUACCAAGGUGGAGAUGGAACAGAUUCCAAGGAGUCAAAAUAACUCAGCUAAUGCCCUGGCAAAGCUAGCGUCCGCUUUCGAAGGGGGCAGAGAAAGAUACUGGUUGACUCAGCAUCUACACCUUCAUGCAAUCUAGUCACAAUACAGGCAGAAGACUGGAGAAAACCCUUGAUAGAGUACUUUGAAGGGCAAAAACCCCCAAAAAACAAAAAUGAAAGGCGUAAAUUACAAACACGCAUUCUAAGAUUCUGCCUAAUUGGUGACAUCCUGUAUAAGAAAUCCUACGAUGGGCCUCUAAUAAAAUGUGUUUCAAUAGAAGAAGAGCAAUUCAUUGUAGAGGAAAUUCAUCAGGGGGUGUGCGGGAUACAUCAAGGGGGAAGGUCUCUAGCCCAAAGAAUAAUAAGGCAGGGAUACUUCUGACCCACACUGAAAAAAGAUGCAGUCCUAUUUGCAAGAAAGUGGAAGGCCUGCCAGAUUCAUAAAAACAUACAAAGAAAUCCCGCAACUCAACUAACAGGGGUAGAAAGCCCCAUCCUAUUCACAAUGGGGACUAGAUAUUGUGGGAUCAUUUCCGGUAUCGACAGUCCAGGAAAAAUUCAUAUUCGUGGUUGUCGACUACUUCACAAAAUAGGUCGAGGCUCUGGCAAUACCCAAGAUAACACAAGGAGCAGCAUCGAAAUUUGUCUUUAAAUUCAUAAUGUGUAGAUUUGGCGUUCUAAUGCACAUAGUGACAGAUAACGGGACACAGUUUACCGGUGGGGAGUUUACGAGAUUGUGCGAAAAUAUGGGCACUAGAAUCCACUUUUCAUCAGUAUAUAGACCAUAGGGUAAUGGGCAAGUAGAAGUCACAAACAGAGCCAUUGUUCAGGGACUGAAGAAAAAGGUUGAACAGGCCAAAGGUGCGUGGGCAGAUCUCCUACCAGAGAUCCUGUGGGCAUACAGAACUACUGAAAAGACACCCACCGGGGAGACUCCGUUCUCACUAGCAUACGGAAUGGAAGCAUUAAUCCCAACAGAGCUAAGCAUACCAACAGUCAGAGUCUUAACCUAUGACAUGUAAGAAAACAUGAGAUCAUGCGCAACGACUCUGAACUUAGUGGAUGAGCUAAGGGACAAUAUACAAGCAAAGAAUGCAGCUUACAAACAGAACAUCGCUAGAUAUCACGAUAAAAACGUCAAGGGUAAAGAGAUAAGGAAAGGAAACCUAGUACUGAGAAGAGCAAGUAUCAAUCGAAGAGACUGCUCCAAAGGCAAACUAGGCGCAAAUUGGGAAGGACCAUACGUGGUGGGGGAAGAACUCCGACCAGACACAUACAGGUUAAAACGAGAAGACGACGCAUGUAUUCCCAACACCUGGCAUGUAAAUAACUUACAAUUGUAUUUUUAACAAUUAAGUAGUUAUUUGUAUCAUUCAUUGUAACUGUUUGAAUUACUUAACUAACACGUUGUUUGGUUAUCACAUUCAAUAGUUAUAACCAAAAAAUAGCAAACGUUCCGUAUAUUGAUUUUAAAACAAAAAGUACAAAAGGAACAUAAAAGUAGGAUGCAUAUUACAAAUUAGGAGGAGUAGAUGGUUUAUCACUGACAGGCUCAUCAAAAAUAGUACCUACGGAUGGGUCUUCAGCAGCAGGCUCCUUAAGGGCAACAUCCGUUGUAACAAGGGUAGGGUCCACUGCGUCAUUGUUGUCUUGAUCUGCGAUAGAAAAGUCUUCAUCAAUGGCAGUGUCUUCACCCGAAAUCUCCCAUUCCUCUUCAGAUUCAGCAAGUGCCCGAUCUUGAAUCUACGUGGCUUCUUUCGGGUACUUGCGGGCCCAACUGUGGACAUCCUCAACCUUAAAACAAGGGCAUACGUGAGGGCCCAGACCCACCAGAUCAUUAUAAUCUUGCAUGUUAGCAAGAAACUCAGCUUGGAUCUUGCCCAGAGUUUCCAUCACCCUCUGGUUCUCUUCAGUUUGUUCGGCCAGGGCAGCUUUUGACUUUUCAAGCUCGGCCUCCUUCUCACCCAACUGUCGGGAAGUGUCAUCAUACUUCUUCUUCAAUGCUACCGACUCUGAUUGCUCUUCAUUUAAUCUUUGCGUGAAAAUGCUAUUUUGAUGCAUCGCUGAGUCAAGAGAGGCCCCGACAUUCUUAAGCUGCUGAGUAAGCCCCUGAAUCAUACCCUCCUUCAGCAAAACCUUGACUUGCUCAGUGUUUCGCUCGUACUCCAUAGCACCCAACUCUCCUUGAAUUUUGGAAAGCUCUUGUCGUGCACUGUCUACAGCUUUGUGCUGGACAGACCAGUCUUCAGCCAGCUUCUUGUUAGUCUCAGACAGUGUAGACAUAUCCACGAUCUUUAGAUGAUAAGCGUUGUCCAAAUCUUGAUAUUUACGCUUGAGCUUUUUCAACUCGUCUUCCAGUGAAUGUCGCGAAGACGAGACAUUGAGGAGAGGCGACCCAUAAACAAAUGAGCAAGCUGCAAAAAAGGGAAACAAAUAAGUACGAACUCAUCAUGCAAAAAACAUGGAGAUAAGAGUACUUACAUUACUGAUAUUCUGACCUACUUCUUAAACGAAGCGGUCCAUCGGAUACCCAGAAAUAAUCCGCAGAGUUGUUCAGGCGGUAUUCGUGUCAGCGACCAUCGGAAAUUUGGUCCCAUAAUUCCGAGGAUGGGAACCUUGGUAGCCAGGAACUUGUGUCUCCUGGGUGGAGGCAUAGGAGUGUCGGCUCCGGGAGGACUCACCCGCAUAGUACCUCCGUCGAGGAGGAGAUCGUCGUCGGGAGGGGGACUUCCUGGUCUUCUUCAGAGGAGGGGGAGCAGAUUUGGAAGGAGGGGAUUUCCUUUUGUCAGAUCGGCCUUUGCCCUUGUCUUCCCCCUUCCCACCCCUCCUGCUGGUUUCUCCAACAUCUUUUCCUUGCUCUUUUUCCUGCGUACGGAAGAAAGAAGCAAGUUUGGCAGCACCAGCAGAUGACACAGAAGGUGCUUCCUCAGUAGAUGGCUGCACAGGGGGAUCCUGAGCUAAAAGAGCUUGAACUAGAAGAGGAAGCAAGAGGAGGGCCUACAAACAAUAAAAAGAAAUCCAAAGUAAGUGUCAGAACAAAACUUACUACACGGAACAGACUUUCGCUUACGGCGAGCGGUAGGACCUUUUCGUUUACUCGAUUUACCAGCAACCUGAAUAGUAGGCUGCUCAACCUCUGGCUCAGCCACAGUAUCAGGAACAACAACUUGUUCCUCCUCUUGGGGAAUUUCUUCUUGAACAUCCUUGUCGGUAGACAUGAUCACAACCUACACAAAACACAAACACUUUGAUUAGCUUAGCUGUUUUUGUAAAAAAAAAAGAGAAGGUUGCAAAAAGUCGAUUCCAAGAGAAAGUCGAUCCAGACUUCAGGAAGUCGUAUUAUAGUUCAAGGAGAAACAACUUCGGAAAACUAACUUCAAAAUAUUAGAAUACCAGAAAGUCGAUCCCCGUAAUGAUACAACUUUAGGAAUUCGACUAUAAGAAGUCGGACUUUAGAAAGUCGAAUCACAGGGAAGACAACUUCAAGAGACACAACUUGCAUUACAGUCUCAUGAAGUCGAUCCCAACAGAUCCGAUCCAGGAAAGUCGAUAACAAAAGUCGGACUUCAAGAGGUCGGACUGUAACCUAAGGGAGGUCACUUCGGGAAAGUAACUUCAAAAGUUGAGUCCCAGGAAGUCGAUCCCAGUAAUAUUGGGCCCAACUCUGAAAAGUCGAUGACAAGAAGUCAGACUUCACAAAGUCGGACCACAGUCCAAAGGGGACACAACUUCAAGGAAGACCGACUCUAAGAAAAGUCGAACCUCAAGGAAGUCGGUCCCAGUGCCACUUUAGCAGAAUCCGACCAUGGAAGUCGGACCCCGAAAAGUAGCACCUCCAAGGCUGAAGUCGAAGCCUUACGCGCGCUAAAAGUCGAAGCGGAAGAACUUGAAAGUCGAUGCGAGAAAGUCGAUGCCUCAGAGCGUUAGAAAUUGGUGAGAAGGAAAUGACCCCCCCUUCAUUAUUUAUAGGGGGAAGUCGAAGACGAACCGUCGCGGGUACUGUUCACCCCGUGGGCCGAAAAGUCCACGGACCCGGCAGGCCCAAGACGCCCGAGUCCGAUAAAACCAAAAAUCCGGCUAAAUGGCUUCGACAUUUCAGGACAAUAGCAUCGACAUUUAAUGAUUGGGUAUCGACAUCCCAGCAGGCUUCAGAUCGACAUCCUCAGAGAAGGAUAGGCGUCGACAUUUACUUUGGAAUAGACAUCCUUCAUAAGAGAAUGACAGGAUCGACAUUCCACAAACACUCAGAUCGACAUCAGAGGAGGAUAGACGUCGACAUUAGAGUACCAUUCACAGUUGACAUCAACAUCCUCAGAAAAGGAUGAAAUCGACUUUUAUACGACAUUGACAUCUUCAGGGAAAGAUGAGAUCGACUUUUCGUACGACCGUCGACAUCCUCAGAAAAGGAAAGAGUCAACCAUCGCACAGUAUCGACGUCCUCAGAAAAAGGUGAGAUCGACUUUUACAAGAUAUCGACAUCCUUAGAGAAGGAUGGGAUCGACUUUCUGUGUAAGCUUCGACACCUUCAGAAAAGGAUAGAAUCGACCAACAUGCAACAUCGACUUUAAGGAAUCGACAUUCUAGAAAAAGUCGAUCUUCAUACACAAAAUUCUUAGAAAAAGGACGAAGUAUACCCGCAAAGUACACCGACGUGCUUCAGAGCAAAGGUGUAAAACAAAUACAAAGAAGGGAAAAUAUCUUUAUUUAGAAUUACAAGUAAAAAGAAUGAAAAGAUUACAAGUCCUUAGUUAAAAUUAAUACGGCGACGCAGGCGACGAGGGACCUGAUUGGGGGAAGAACCACUACAUCGAGGACGCCUCCGGCACCGACCACGAGAAGGGGCGACAGGGGAAGCCACAGUCGGCAGGUCACCAACAGACCAUUCUUCAAAUAUCGAUUCCCUAGCUGCAACAGCAACACUCUGCCGCUCAACAAUAAUUUUGCACAGAGCAGGAAGAUCCAAGGCCGAAAACCGAGGAUCCAAAAUAUUAAGAAUUCUAUCCAGCUCCUCAAUCUCCCCCUGAAUAAAAUCAGCGAAGAGACUCACAAGAAAAGCCAUGGAUGAAGGGAAAGGAGGACUUAAAGGAUCUAUUUAUAGACCCGGGUCUGCACAAGAAACAAAAAUAGAGUAAAACUGACCAGGAGGACAACCCUUCCAAGAUCAACACGAAGACUCGACUUUUUUGGCCAAAGCACAAGGAAUCGACUUUUAGUAAAAGAGUCAACACAAGGACCCAAGGGAUCGACUUUUCUACAAAAGUCGAAGGUCAAUAUUCGGAUCGAAUUUUGCACAAAAGUCGAUUAACAUUACGAGGGAUCAACUUUUUCUCCCCAACACAAGGGGGGUGUAAAAAAAAGAACCCUGACGUAUUGGAAUAUGGUGGAAGUUCACCAAGGCAGGGGGUGUAGGAAAAACACUCCUGACAUCUUAAAAGUCACCAAGGCAGGGGGUGUAGGAAAAAUACUCCUGAGACCUUGAAGUUCACCAAGGCGGGGGGGUAUAAGAGAAGAAAAAAAACCCGGAAAUCUGCAUAACAAUAAAAAGGACCCGACAGAGGCAGAAGCCUUGUGGUCACACCACCAAGGAAGAAUAACACCGAUGACGGUACAACAGCAGAAUGAACUGGGGCACUCUAAGAUAUUUGAACUCCUACAAUUACUGGAUGCAGUAACAAAGUCUAAGAUAUUUGAACUCCUACAAUUACUGGAUGCAGUAACAAAGUAGGACGCCAAAUUAACCCUACCUACGGAAGAACGUAGGUGGAGAAAGUCUUAGUGGCAACAGGGUCAGAACGCGUACCCCAUCCGGAAAUACUCACCACAUCUACAAAAAAAAACGUAGAUAGAAGGGUGAGUAAAAAACAAACCCCACCUAAGGAAGAACGUAGGUAGACGGGGAACACGACACACGCUCACCUACAAAAAAACGUAGGCUAAGAGGGAAGUGUUCAGGAGUAGACCUCACCUACGGAAGAACGUAGGUAGACGAGGGACACACCGGCAAAGCAUUGCCCUCUUCUACAAAGAACGUAGACAGAGGGAGAUGUGCUCAAAAGUGAACCUCACCUACGGAAGAACGUAGGUAGUCGAGAAACACACCGGCUAAAAGAACUUAACCAAAUCUACGAAAAAACGUGGAUAGAGGGGUAAGUAUUCAAAAAUAAACUUCACCUAUGGAAGAACAUAGUAGACGAGGAACUACACUCAACCUCAGCCGCGGAAGCAGCGAGCAGAAGGAGAGGGCAAGAGUUCAAAAAAGAACCUCACCUAUGGAAGUACAUAGGUAGACGAGGAACUACACUCAACCUCAGCCACGAAAGCAGCGAGCAGAAGGAAGGGGCAAGGGUUCAAAAGAAAACUUUACCUAUAAAACAAAAUAGGUAGAAGGGACAACACUCAACUCCAACCACAGAAGAGGGGAGAGGUACUCGAACAUUGCUCGGAGACAUCUCAGCAAAGCGUCAAGGCGGGCAAGCAGGGUUCCGCUCGGAAAUCGAGCUAGGCAAGCUGCGCAAGGAGUAUACUUCGGCUAAGACAAACCGGACAAUAGUUAGUAAAAGUAUGUGACAACCUCCGUGGAAGGAUAGAUAUAACCUCGCGGUUGUAGAAAGGGGGGAGAACUGGUGAGAGAGGAUCUCGCAUCCCAGGACAUCACCAAUAAACCACACCCCCGCACGCAAAGAGGGGGGAAUACUGAUAGUACGAAGUCCGACGCAUAUACCAUAGUACUAAAAGACGUAUCCCAAGAUAUCUGAUACGCAGAGGAGGGGGGUACUGGUGAUACAGUAUCCCAAACCCGAUCACAACUUAUCAGCAACUAGAAGUCCGGAUAGCCUAAGAUGAGUUAAGGUACCUAUUCUAGGAUUGGAAAGGUCUCAAGUCAAAUCCUAGGUAGAUCGACUUUCCCAAGGUUCGACUUCCCUAGGAUCGACUUCUGAACAAAGUCGAACCCCAGAAAAGUCGGAUCCUAAGAAAGUCGAUUUGUGGAAAGUCGACCUUGGAUCCCGAUUUGAUCAGUUAGGUAGUUAGGCGAUUACUGCCCAAAUGACCAGAUUACCCCCAUAAGAAUCCCUAUAAAUAGGAGGCACCCUCACUCAUUUGAGGCAAGUCAUUUGGAGUAGAGAAUUCCUAGCGAAGCAGAGCUCUGCUCACUUGAGUUCUGGUUCGAUUUCCUGCGGAGUUUCCCGCUUGGCGUUUGCUGAAGCGUCUUGGAGUACUGAUCGGGUUUCACCCUCAUCAAGAACCAUGAGGAGUCUAUAUAUAUGUGUUUUCGUCUAAUUAUACAUCAAAACCAGGAAAUCCUAGUUUCCAAAUCGUGUGUUCCUCCCCCUCUUCUUGUCUCAUGCAUCUACUUGCACCUGACUAACACACUCCAUAUCAGUGGCUAACUUUGUCAUAAUUAAGACUUCCCACCGUCUGCGGCUGGAGGCGGAGCGGAGAGAGUGCUUAAUUUGCAAACUGGAAGUUGCAUUGCAUGCUAGCUAGUCCGGGAGGGAUCCAACGAUAGUGAAGGAGAAUGGGAGAAGUUCAUUAAAGUCAACUAACCUCGAUCUUGAUCUAAUUUUUAUUUUCGCUAAUCAAUUUAUGUCAUUGUACCUCUUCUUAUCUUGUAAAUUAGUCUGUUUUCAUUAACCCUUAUUACCACCAUAAACAUUCAGACAUGCUGUUUCUUAAAAAAUAAUAAUUAAAUUGAUGAGAGAGACGUAUGGCGUAGUUUGUUUGACUCAUCCAUUCACGGUGCUCCUUUAAUCC